rnacentral:rRNA from 1 species
AAGACCUUGCACUUUUGGAGCGGCCGAUGUCUGAUUAGCUAGUUGGUGGGGUAAUGGCCUACCAAAGCUUCGAUCAGUAGCUGGUCUGAGAGGACGGCCAGCCACACUGGGACUGAGACACGGCCCAGACUCCUACGGGAGGCAGCAGUGGGGAAUUUUGGACAAUGGGCGCAAGCCUGAUCCAGCCAUGCCGCGUGAGUGAAGAAGGCCUUCGGGUUGUAGAGCUCUUUCAGCCGGGAAGAAAAGGUUGCGACUAAUAAUCGCAAUUCACGACGGUACCGAAAGAAGAAGCACCGGCUAACUACGUGCCAGCAGCCGCGGUAAUACGUAGGGUGCGAGCGUUAAUCGGAAUUACUGGGCGUAAAGGGUGCGCAGGCGGUUUUGUAAGUCAGAUGUGAAAUCCCCGGGCUUAACCUGGGAACU